UGAACUUAAGCAUAUCAAUAAGCGGAGGAAAAGAAACCAACAGGGAUUGCCCUAGUAACGGCGAGUGAAGCGGCAACAGCCCAAAUUUGAAAUCUGGCCCCCUGGGGUCCGAGUUGUAAUUUGGAGAGGAUGCCUCGGUGGAGGCCCCGGCCGAAGUGCCUUUGAACGGGCCGUCAGAGAGGGUGAGAACCCCGUCCGCGGUCGCCGGCCCCCACCGUGUGAGGCUCCUUCGACGAGUCGAGUUGUUUGGGAAUGCAGCUCUAAAUGGGAGGUAAAUUCCUUCCAAGGCUAAAUAUCCGCCAGAGACCGAUAGCGCACAAGUAGAGUGAUCGAAAGGUGAAAAGCACUUUGAAAAGAGGGUGAAACAGCACGUGAAAUUGUUGAAAGGGAAGCGCUUGCAACCAGAGUCGUCCGCGGGGGCUCCACCGACCCUCGGGCCCGGUGCACUCCCCCGCGGCCGAGCCAGCAUCAGCUCGGCCGGUCGGAUAAAGGCCGUGGGAAUGUGACACCCUCGGGUGUGUUAUAGCCCGCGGCACAAUACGGCCUGGCCGGGCUGAGGUCAGCGCCUUUGGCACGGAUGCUGGCGUAAUGGUUGUCAGCGGCCCGUCUUGAAACACGGACCAAGGAGUCUAACAUCUAUGCGAGUGUUCGGGUGUCAAACCCGUGAGCGGAAUGAAAGUGAACGGAGGUGGGAGCCCUCGGGCGCACCAUCGACCGAUCCGGAUGUCUUCGGAUGGAUUUGAGUAUGAGCAUAGCUGUUGGGACCCGAAAGAUGGUGAACUAUGCGUGAAUAGGGUGAAGCCAGAGGAAACUCUGGUGGAGGCUCGCAGCGGUUCUGACGUGCAAAUCGAUCGUCAAAUUUGCGCAUAGGGGCGAAAGACUUAUCGAACCAUCUAGUAGCUGGUUCCUGCCGAAGUUUCCCUCAGGAUAGCAGUAACGGAAUUGAGUUUUAUGAGGUAAAGCGAAUGAUUAGAGGCCUGGGGGUUGAAACAACCUUCACCUAUUCUCAAACUUUAAAUAUGUAAGAAGCCCUUGUUGCUUUGUUGAACGUGGGCAUUCGAAUCGAUCGUUACUAGUGGGCCAUUUUUGGUAAGCAGAACUGGCGAUGCGGGAUGAACCGAACGCGGGGUUACGGUGCCAGAGUGCACGCUCAUCAGACACCACAAAAGGUGUUAGUUCAUCUGGACAGCAGGACGGUGGCCAUGGAAGUCGGAAUCCGCUAAGGAGUGUGUAACAACUCACCUGCCGAAUGAACUAGCCCUGAAAAUGGAUGGCGCUCAAGCGUGCCACCUAUACCCCGCCGCCCGGGCAGGCUCGAGGCCCGGGCGAGUAGGCAGGCGUGGGGGUCCGUGACGAAGCCCUGGGCGUGAGCCCGGGUCGAACGGCCCCCAGUGCAGAUCUUGGUGGUAGUAGCAAAUACUCAAAUGAGAACUUUGAGGACUGAAGUGGGGAAAGGUUCCGUGUGAACAGCAGUUGGACACGGGUUAGUCGAUCCUAAGGGGCAGGGUGAUCCCGUUGGAUGUGCGCGCUCGCGCGCCGCCCCCCGAAAGGGAAGCCGGUCAAUGUUCCGGCACCUGGAUGUGGACUCUCCACGGCAACGUAACUGAAGGCGGAGACGACGGCGGGGGCCCUGGGAAGAGUUCUCUUUUCUUCUUAACGGUCUGUCACCCUGAAAUCGGUUUGUCCGGAGCUAGGGUCUGGUGGCCGGAAGAGCCUCGCACCUCUGCGGGGUCCGGUGCGCCCCCGACGUCCCUUGAAAAUCCGCCCGAGGGAAUAGCGUUCACGCCAGGUCGUACUCAUAACCC
rnacentral:rRNA from 1 species